rnacentral:tRNA from 1 species
GGAAGCGUAUCGAAGUGGUCAUAACGGGGCUGACUCGAAAUCAGUUAGGGAUUAAUCCCCCGCGAGUUCGAAUCUCGCCGCUUCCGCCA